rnacentral:lncRNA from 1 species
CGAAGCAAGGGCGAAAAUGAGGGACCUCAAGCAGGGCCAUUCGAUCAAGGAGUACGUCAAGGGCAUUCUCCAACUUGAUGCUACAAAUUGACAACAUGAGCGACGAGGAUCUCUUAUUCAACUUCUUAUCCGGGCUUACACCAUGGGCGGUUCAGGAAUUAAGACGGUCCAAGGCCGAUGACAUCUCGACGGCACUCAAGGU